GAUGAACGCUGGCGGCGUGCUUAACACAUGCAAGUCGAACGGUGAACGAGGGAGCUUGCUCCCUCCGGAUCAGUGGCGAACGGGUGAGUAACACGUGAGCAAUCUGCCCUGGACUCUGGGAUAAGCGUUGGAAACGACGUCUAAUACCGGAUACGAGACGCGAAGGCAUCUUCAGCGUCUGGAAAGAACUUCGGUCCAGGAUGAGCUCGCGGCCUAUCAGGUAGUUGGUGAGGUAACGGCUCACCAAGCCUACGACGGGUAGCCGGCCUGAGAGGGUGACCGGCCACACUGGGACUGAGACACGGCCCAGACUCCUACGGGAGGCAGCAGUGGGGAAUAUUGCACAAUGGGCGGAAGCCUGAUGCAGCGACGCCGCGUGAGGGAUGACGGCCUUCGGGUUGUAAACCUCUUUCAGCAGGGAAGAAGCGUGAGUGACGGUACCUGCAGAAGAAGCACCGGCUAACUACGUGCCAGCCGCCGCUGUAAAAC
rnacentral:rRNA from 1 species